rnacentral:tRNA from 1 species
GGACCUGUGGUCUAGUGGUAUGACAUCUGCUUGACGUGCAGAAGACUGGCGGUUCGAUUCCGCCCAGGUCCA